AUGCCUCUGCUCGCCCCCGGCAUCAUCCUUCGCGACGCGCGGACGCCGCGGGGGUUCGUCCAGCUCCUCGCCUCCUCCUCCUCCCCGCUUCCGCCAAGCCCGUCCGCCGCGGCGCAGUGCCAUGGGCUGGCCACCAAGCUCGGCCUCGCGGCCAGCAACGUCUUCGCGGGCACCGCCCUCCUCGCCUUCUACUGCCGCUGCCGCCGCCCGCGCGACGCCCGGCGGCUGUUCGACGAAAUGCCCGAGAGGAGCGGCGUCACCUGGAGCGCGCUCGUCUACGGCCACGCGCGGUCCAGCGCGCCCGGCCUCGCCGUGGAGGCGUUCGGACGCAUGGUGCGCGCCGGCUUCUCCCCCACGGCGGCGGCCGUGUCCAGCGCCCUUGUCGCGUGCUCGAGGAUGGAGGACGCCCGCGUAGGGGCGAUGCUCCAUGCCGCUGGCCUCAAGUGCGGCGGCAGCGUCUGUGGCAGCGUCGUCGUCGGGACUGCGUUGGUGGACAUGUACGCCAAAUGCCGUGAUGUUUCGGCUGCUCAGCGGGUUCUUGAGGAGAUGGAAGAGAAGAACGUGGCCACUUUUACGGCUCUUGUGGGCGGGUUCGCCUCAGCCGGAAGACCUCGCGAGGCCAUGGUGCUGGUCAGGGAGAUGGAACAGUCAGGGGUGGCACCAAAUAUGAUGACAUACAGCAGCCUUCUCAGCUCAUUUGCGGGUCCUGAAGACCUCAAUCAUGGGAGGCAAGCGCAUUGUGCGGUGCUAAAGAAGGGUCUCGAGCACAAUCCCUAUGUUCUGUCCACUCUUAUGACCAUGUACUCCAAGUGUGGCAUCUUAGAUGAUUUCAGGAAGGUGCAGAUGGCUGUUUCAUGCCAGGAUCAGGUGUCGCUCAAUUCCGUGAUCUCGGGGCUCUCCUGUUUGGGAAGAGGCGACGAGGCGUUUGAACAGUUCUUGGAGAUGAGACGGCAUGGCGCUGACACAGAUAUGUUCACCUUUGGCAGCAUGCUGAAGGCUAUAGGGAGCUCAUCCUCGCUGCUGGAGGGAAGACAAGUCCAUGCUCUGAUCCUCAAAACUGGGUAUGAGUCUGAUGUGAAUGUCCAGAACGGUUUGAUCUCCAUGUACGCCAGGCGCGGCGAGAUAGGGGAGUCCAGGGAUGUUUUCGCUUCGGUGGAAGCGCCUGACUUGGUCUCCUGGAAUUCGCUUCUGACAGGCUAUGCUCAACAUGGUUAUGGCAAAGAGGUGGUUGAGGUGUUUGAACAGAUGAGGAGACUGAAUGUUCAGCCAGACAACACAACCUUCUUGUUGGUGCUUACAGCUUGCAGCCACGCCGGUUUGGUGGAUACAGGGUUGGAGUACUUCAACUUGAUGAAAACAAACGGGUUUCUCGCAGGGGCGCGGCUAGAGCACUACGCGUGCGUGGUCGAUCUUCUCGGUCGAGCAGGCCAUCUCCAAGAAGCCGAGGCUUUGAUCAACGACAUGCCUAUUGAACCUGGCGUCUCGGUGUACAGAGCUCUGCUUAGUGCCUGCCAGAUCCACGGCAACCUUGAGAUCGCGAUCCGGGUGACCACACGCCUGAUCGAGCUCUACCCGCACGACUCCUCUGCCCAUGUUCAGCUGUCAAAGGCCUUUGCCGGUGAUGGCCACUGGGGUGAUGCUGCCGAGGUCAGGGAGGCCAUGGCAGGUAAAGGGAUAGUGAAGAACCCUGCUUGGAGCUGUGUCGAGGACCGGGUACAGGUUGGAUAA
rnacentral:rRNA from 1 species